rnacentral:rRNA from 1 species
CUACGGAGGGUGCAAGCGUUAUUCGGAAUCACUGGGCGUAAAGGACGCGUAGGCGGGUUGGCAAGUCAGAUGUGAAGUCCUACAGCUUAACUGUAGAACUGCAUUUGAAACUGCUAACCUAGAGUAUGGGAGGGGGAGAUGGAAUUAGUGGUGUGGGGGUAAAAUCCGUAGAUAUCACUAGGAAUACCGAAAGCGAAGGCGAUCUCCUGGAACAUAACUGACGCUAAGGCGUGAAAGCGUGGGGAGCAAACAGGAUUAGAAACCCUUGUAGUCC